GGGUACUAGUCUUAAGCUCUGGAUGGAGGCUGCCUUCCCGCCCCCCCUCACCCCCGCUACCCGCCAAGUCCCACCGUCCCACCGAGGACCCCUCUCGCAGGUCCAGUGCAUACUUUCUCUAACGCUGUGAAGGACUCCUCACCCCACCCCUAGUCUGAACUUUCAGCCCUCCCUGGAUCACUCUCAAGUUAGGCCCAGGUCGUGCUGACGGGCCGCCAGUGGGCAAGGUCCGCCCAGGUGCUGGGGCAAAGUCCGUCCCCCUAGGCGCCCGUGGCGGCGGCUACGAGGCGGGUGGCAUCGGCUCCCUAGCCUCGGGGUGGGCCCAGAGGCGGCCCCGGAUGCCGCUGCGGGAACCGCCAGCCCGGGGCGGAGAGGAUUCAGAACGCGCGGGACUGCGGCCGGGGGAGUUCACACAAGAGAGCCUCCGGGGACAACCAGGAACAUCCCCACAAGGAAACCUCCCUCAUGGCCAAUACAUCUACGCAUUUUUGUUGGCUUGCUUUUUUGGCUCAAAGUGGAGCUACAUGCAUCGAGAAGCCCAGAUUCUGAAGGGUGCUGAUGGGGGAAAUGAAUCAUGGCAAAAAAGUUAGAAACCAAAAGGGCUCAGCUCAAAAGAAUUCCUUUGGAAGGUUAAUUUUGGUUCAAACUGACUGUCAAUGUGCUUCUUGAAUGGAUUCAUCAGGAUUUAUCAGGCUCUGAAAAACUGCCAAGAGGAAUCAAAGACAGAAGCAUCCCCGGAUCUGGAGAAGGAGCAGAGCGCAAAGCCAGGACACUUACUGGAGGACCUGCAAAACAUAAGCAGAGAAGCCACCAUCAGCAUCGAAGGCAGAGAAGGUCCCUUUGCCUGUUCUCAGCACAGUUACUUGUCACCUCACCUCUGCCAAGGCUUUAAUGGGGUCACAACUGUUUCCUGUAAUAGCUAUACAAAUAAGCAUCAGUCAGUCCCAAGGCCAAGUGGCAGAGCAGAAGAGGCAUCUUUGUCCUUGGAAGGGCCCAGAUGGUCAUGUGGGGCAGACAGACACUUAAGGAAACCCUGUCUCUGGGGGAAACACAGGAAGUUCCAAGCACUCAACAAGGAGCUGCCCCAGGAUGGCCGAGUCCAGGAGAGGAGCCGUGGCAGAGUCUCCAUCACCUUUUCAACGCCAGACGUACACUGCCCCAGCGCCCAUGCCCAUCUGCCUCUCCACACGCCUAAGUUCAUUCGGAGGGACUGACCCACCUCCAGUGAAGGCCCCUCCCUUCCCCUCACCCCUCCCUGUCUGUCACAGUCGAGCUCACCCUUCCAGGCAGAUCCUUCCCAACAGCUUUGAAAGGUGCUCCAAUCCCUUUGGUCCCACACCCCCUUCUAGGACUGCCCCACCUCUGCCUGCUCCCUCAUGCCCAGGGUACUGGAAAGAGGCAUCCACACUCACUGUCUUGAACUCCUCAUCCUCCACUUAAUUAUGACUCUCUGAUCUGGGUUCACCUCUCCCGCUCACCAAGGUCUCCGAUGACUUGCCUCCACACAAAUGAACCAAGCCAUUUUCUCCUGCUCAUUUCACUUGGCCUCCAGGCUGGAUCCCUGCUGCUGACUGAGAGCUUCUCCUCCUCCUUCUACUUCUCCUGGUGUUUGGCAUGGAACCCAGGGUCCAGUUCAGGUUCUGUUCUACCACUGAGCCACAUCCCCCACCCUGACUGAAAGUUUCUGGAAGCAUUUUCUUCCUGUGGCUUCCAAAAUGUCACAUCCCACCCACUUCCCUGGCCUUCGGUCUCUUUCGCUGACUCGGUUUUCUUUACCCAGCCUUGAGUUUCCUUGAGGCUCAAGUCUGGGUGCUGUCUCCUCAGUUCACUUCUCUGUGGGUUCUUCUCUUCUGUCUUCUUUGAGGAUCUAUCCAUGCUUGUGGCUACCCUCUGCAGAAGAGUCCUGAAUGUGCAUCUCCAGCCCCGGCUGUGCCUCUGAAUCCCGGUCUCCCUUUCCCAGCUGCCUACUUAACAUUUCUUCUUGGAUGAUUCCAUUUCCCCCAGCACACGUGCACAGCCAUGCUCAUGAUCUUCUUCCCCAAAACUGGCUCCUCUUCCGUGGUCCUGGUCUUGGGGAAGGAUGUCACCAUCCAUCUAGGAGUUGUGUGAACUCAAAAAUGAGGAGCCGCCUUUGACAUGUUCUCCAUCCCUAAUCUAUUCAUGCAUCUCUUGUUUAUUCUGUUUGUCUUUAAGUUUUAUUUAUUUAUUUUUGAGACCAGGUCUCACUAUUUUGCCCAGGCUGGCCUCAAACUCCCAGGUCCAAAUGAUCCUCCUAUUUGAGCCUUCCAAGUAGCUGGAACUAUCAGGGUGCCUGGUGGUGCUGGCCCGUUGUUUCCUACUACUCUGGAAUCCAUCCACUGACCUCUCUCCACCACCAUAACCCUAAUCCCCAUUACUACUGUCUCUUGACUGUUGCAAUGAUUCCUGGUUGGCCUCCCUAGUCACUCAUUCCAUGGAUAUCAAGUGCCUGCCCUCUGCUGAUCACUGUUCUAGGCACCUGGAAUACACCAGUAAAAAUAGCAAAAAUCCGCAUCUUAAUGGAGCUUCCCAUCUAGUGAGUGACAGAUGAGAUACAAUAAACAUAAUGAAUCACUAGGAAGGUGAUCUGAAUUAUACAAGAAGAAAGGUGCUUAGUGUCUAAGAAAGGGGGAACCGUUUGUGCUGGGGAGGGGCAGACUGGAAUAUUCCAUAGGAUGUUUAGGAAAAAUGUCACCCUGAGGUGACAUCUGAGCAAAGGCCUGGAGGAAGUGUAGAUUGUGGCAGGACAGAUUCCUGGGGAAAGUAGGUACCAGGCAGAGGGAAGACCCGAGGGCAGGAGCGGGGCUGGUGUGUUGGAGGAGCAGCAAGGGAGCCAACGGGACUGGAGGAGAAUGGGAGGCAGCUGUAGAGGCAACAGGGCUGACGCAGACUGGGGAGGGCCUUGUUGGCCACACCUGGGACUCGAUCUUAUCUCUGCCAUGGGAGCCCUUGGAGGGUUUUGACCAGAGAGAGGGUAUAACCUGGCUAGUAUUUUAAAAGAUCACUGUGAGGAGCAGCGAGCGCAGAAUCCAGAGGCUAUUGGCAGUGAUGCAGGGGAGAGGAAAGGUGGCUCACAGCCAGUGGUGGCAGCAAACAGGGUGGAAGUGGUUGGAGCUGAGAUCAGUGCUGAAGGUGGCACCUCGAGGAUUUCCGGAGAUGACUCAAGGAAGAUGCCACAAUUUUGGCCAAAGGUUGGAGUUGCCAUCCAGGAGGUGGGAAGACUGUGAUGGGGGUUUUGCUGAAGGGAUCAGGAGCUCAGCUUGGUACACACACUGUUCAGGGACACCCCGACAGUUAGAAGCUGGGGAGAAGAGAAGGACGUCCUGGAAGCCAAGUUGCCAAAGCGUCCUGAGGAGGAGGGAGCGAUCGCCUGCGAGGUGCACAGCGUUGGGGGUGCAGACAGGUUAGGGGAGAAGAGGGGAGGAAUGCGAAGUCAGUGCCUUUGAGGAGUUGGGCUGCAAGGCGGAAGCGAAAGGUCAGAGUGGACGCUUUGGCGUUCAUGGGAUCCAGAGAAGAGUAUUUUUUUCAAGGUGAAAGAGA